rnacentral:rRNA from 1 species
GUAGGUUUAUUCGAUGAUACGCGAAGACCUUACCUGGGCUCGAACGUAAGAUGACUGUAGUGAAAGCUUACAUCUCUUCGGAGCAUUUUACGAGGUGCUGCAUGGUUGUCGUCAGCUCGUGCCGUGAGGUGUCGGGUUAAGUCCCAUAACGAGCGCAACCCCUACCUUUAGUUGCCAUCAGGUUAAGCUGGGGACUCUAAAGGAACUGCCUACGCAAGUAGUGAGGAAGGCGGGGAUGACGUCAAAUCAGCACGGCCCUUACGUCCAGGGCUACACACGUGCUACAAUGGCCGAUACAGAGGGCAGCUACCUGGUGACAGGAUGCAAAUCUCCAAAGUCGGUCUCAGUUCGGAUCGGAGUCUGCAACCCGACUCCGUGAAGUUGGAUUCGCUAGUAAUCGCGCAUCAGCCAUGGCGCGGUGAAUACGUUCCCGGGCCUU